rnacentral:rRNA from 1 species
GACGAACGCGGCGGCGUGCCUAAUACAUGCAAGUAGAACGCUGAAGAGAGGAGCUUGCUCUUCUUGGAUGAGUUGCGAACGGGUGAGUAACGCGUAGGUAACCUGCCUGGUAGCGGGGGAUAACUAUUGGAAACGAUAGCUAAUACCGCAUAAAAUUAAUUAUUGCAUGAUAAUUAAUUGAAAGAUGCAAUUGCAUCACUACCAGAUGGACCUGCGUUGUAUUAGCUAGUUGGUGAGGUAACGGCUCACCAAGGCGACGAUACAUAGCCGACCUGAGAGGGUGAUCGGCCACACUGGGACUGAGACACGGCCCAGACUCCUACGGGAGGCAGCAGUAGGGAAUCUUCGGCAAUGGGGGGAACCCUGACCGAGCAACGCCGCGUGAGUGAAGAAGGUUUUCGGAUCGUAAAGCUCUGUUGUAAGAGAAGAAACGGGUGUGAAGAAGUGGAAAGUUCACAACUGUGACGGAUUUUACCA